UACAGAGACCUCAAGCGUUAUCCGGAUUUAUUGGGCGUAAAGGGUCCGCAGGUGGUUUGGCAACUCAGGGGUUAAACCUUAUCGCUUAACGAUAAGCCUGCCUUUGAAAAUACCAAACUAGAGGAUGGAAGAGGUGAGCGGAAUUCUCGGUGUAGUCGUAAUAAGCGUUGAUAUCGAGAAGAACAUCAAAUGCGAAGGCAGCUCACUGGUACACUCCUGACACUCAGGGACGAAAGCGUGGGGAGCAAACAGG
rnacentral:rRNA from 1 species